ensembl:lncRNA
CCUGUACUGGCAUGUAUUGUGGAAGGUGUCCUGUAUUGUUUAAGGUGUCCUGUACUGGCCUGUAUUUUGGAAGGUGUCUUGUACUUGCCUGUAUUGUAAUGUGUAAGAUGUCCUGUAUUGUUUAAGGUGACUUUCCCUGGCCUGUAUUGUGUGAGGUGUCCUGGACUAGCCUGUAUUGUGUGAGGUGUCCUUUCCUGGCCUGUAUUGUGUGAGGUGUCCUGGCCUGUAUUGUGUGAGGUGUCCUGGACUAGCCUGUAUUGUGUGAGGUGUCCUUUCCUGGCCUGUAUUGUGUGAGGUGUCCUGUACUGGCCUGUAUUGUAUGAGGUAUCCUGUACUGGCCUGUAUUGUGUGAGGUGCCAGUAGGUACUUCUAAAAUGAUGAACGUCUACAACCGCAUUGAGUAGCCAAGUGAUGAGGAUCUUUGAUAGAUUUAUAAAUUGUAUUUAGCUGUUUAUUGUGGAAUUAGGUCAUAGCUUACAAGUAAAGGUCCUUUUACAUUGACCUAGAUACCAGAGUGUGGUGUAAACCGAUUUAUCCAUUUUGCAAAAAGG